rnacentral:rRNA from 1 species
AUUGAACGCUGGCGGAAUGCUUUACACAUGCAAGUCGAACGGCAGCACGGGAGCUUGCUCCUGGUGGCGAGUGGCGAACGGGUGAGUAAUGCGUCGGAACGUACCGAGUAAUGGGGGAUAACGCAGCGAAAGUUGUGCUAAUACCGCAUACGCCCUUUGGGGGAAAGCAGGGGAUCGCAAGACCUUGCGUUAUUCGAGCGGCCGACGUCUGAUUAGCUAGGUGGUAGGGUAAAGGCCUACCAAGGCUUCGAUAAGUAGCGGGUCUGAGAGGAUGAUCCGCCACACUGGAACUGAGACACGGUCCAGACUCCUACGGGAGGCAGCAGUGGGGAAUUUUGGACAAUGGGGGCAACCCUGAUCCAGCCAGGCCGCGUGAGUGAAGAAGGCCUUCGGGUUGUAAAGCUCUUUCGGCAGGAACGAAACGGACUGCUCUAGCAUAGCGGUCUAAUGACGGUACCUGAAGAAGAAGCACCGGCUAACUACGUGCCAGCCGCCGCCGUAAAAC